GGCUCAGAACGAACGCUGGCGGCGUGCUUAACACAUGCAAGUCGAACGAACCUUCGGGUUAGUGGCGGACGGGUGAGUAACGCGUGAGAAUCUGCCCUCAGGAGGGGGAUAACGGUUGGAAACGACCGCUAAUACCCCAUAUGCCGAGAGGUGAAAAGAAAUUCGCCUGAGGAUGAGCUCGCGUCUGAUUAGCUAGUUGGUGUGGUAAUGGCGCGGGAAAGCUUCGAUCAGUAGCUGGUCUGAGAGGAUGAUCAGCCAUACUGUUAUCUGAGACACAGACCAGACUC
rnacentral:rRNA from 1 species